GGCUUAUAAUUGAAGUCUGGCAUGAAAGAAUCUACGGGUAGUCACUGUCUUCAUUAGUUUUUCUGAACUUCCUUAAGAGGUGAAAAUGCCUUUAAACAUAAAAUAGACGAGAAGACCCUAGAAAUUUUUUACACAUUUAGAUUGAUCUAUUUUCUAUUUUGUUGGGGCGACAGAAUAACAUUUAACUUAUUUUAUUUAAUGUGCACUAUGUAAUGUGGAAAAACAAAUUACUCUAGGGAUAACAGCAUAAUUUUACUAGUUUGUGACCUCGAUGUUGGACUAGGGAUUUUAUUAACCAGCAGUUAACUGAACAUGCUCUGU
rnacentral:rRNA from 1 species